rnacentral:lncRNA from 1 species
AAUCGCUUGGUGAAACAAUUUCCUAGAGACUUGUCAUCACCCUGAAGACUUAUGACAUUUUAUUUUCUUAGUCUUCUGCUCUUCUCGGCAGCAAAGAUAAGCCCCGGUGCAUUCACCACUUUCCUUGUUGUUUACAAAAGUUUUAUCACUGUAUAUGAUGCAUUAGGUGCUAGGAGUUGCGUGAUCAAACAAUUGAUGCAUUACCAUCCUUGAGAAUUUGAAUAAUCAUUCCUUGAUACCUAUUUUAUGAAAAACUAGUGCUGCUUAGCCCUGCUUAAAGUGAUAAGAUUUUGAAAUUUAUUUUGAUUACUGGUUAUUGUUAUGUGUGAAUGAACUUGAGUUAGAUAAUUAAUAUGAGACCGGGUGGGUGGCUUGCAUCGUGAAAUGAGUCAGUGUAGUGCUCCGCCUGUGUCGAUUAAGGACCAUUCGAUGUAGGCUUGAUGAGGUGAGACUUUGCAACUAGCCACAUGCUCUGGUAAGUCUGAACCCGACUAUUUCAUACGUGAAAAGACAACCACGCACUGGGCGUGGGAGAUGGUGGGAGUAGCGUGUACCCUCCUGGCUAGAGGCUGGACGGAGGAGUACUGUGCUCCCGGGUAGCGCGGACCGGUUCACGUUGUGGAGGAUCUGUGAGUACGAUUGACAUAUGCAAGGGUUAAGUGCUACAUAUGUCGUGUGGUUAGGAAUCCCUAGCUGGGUAUAAUCGGUUCGAAUCGUCGUUGCUCCUCGGUUAUAGAGACUCGACUCACUGACCACUCAUCGUAGUUAAUAAGUGAAACAUGAAUUGGCUAAAAGAAAGCUAGAUGGACAAGUGAAUGCUCUAGAUCAGGAAAAUCUAGAAUCAGGUAAGAACUGAAAUUGAUAAUUAAAAGAUGGCUUAAGGAUCUACUAUUAGUAAGUUUUUCUGCAAAAUGAGUACUUGAUUAUUGCUUAGACUUACCUUGAUUCCUAAAAGCCAAC